rnacentral:rRNA from 1 species
UGGGGAAUAUUGCACAAUGGGGGAAACCCUGAUGCAGCAAUGCCGCGUGAGUGAUGACGGCCUUCGGGUUGUAAAGCUCUGUCUUCAGGGACGAUAAUGACGGUACCUGAGGAGGAAGCCACGGCUAACUACGUGCCAGCAGCCGCGGUAAUACGUAGGUGGCAAGCGUUGUCCGGAUUUACUGGGCGUAAAGGGAGCGUAGGCGGAUUUUUAAGUGAGAUGUGAAAUACCCGGGCUCAACUUGGGUGCUGCAUUUCAAACUGGAAGUCUAGAGUGCAGGAGAGGAGAAUGGAAUUCCUAGUGUAGCGGUGAAAUGCGUAGAUAUUAGGAGGAACACCAGUGGCGAAGGCGGCCUGCUGGACUGUUACUGACACUGAGGCACGAAAGCGUGGGGAGCAAACAGG